UACAGGGGGGGCAAGCGUUGUUCGGAAUUACUGGGCGUAAAGGGUCUGUAGGUGGCCAACUAAGUCAGACGUGAAAUCCCUCAGCUUAACUGGGGAACUGCGUCUGAUACUGGAUGGCUCGAGUGUGGGAGAGGAAUGCGGAAUUCCAGGUGUAGCGGUGAAAUGCGUAGAUAUCUGGAGGAACACCGGUGGCGAAGGCGGCAUCCUGGACCGACACUGACGCUGAGGAGCGAAAGCCAGGGGAGCAAACGGG
rnacentral:rRNA from 1 species